UCCGUAGGUGAACCUGCGGAAGGAUCAUUAUUGAAACAUUGUGAAGGAGGUUGAGCUGGCUCUUUAAGUGCAUAUGUGCUCGCCUUCUUUCAAUCUUCAUCCACCUGUGCACAUGUUGUAGGGGAAUUUGGAACUGGUGUAAAAGCCUUAGUACAAGUUUCUCUAUGUUUUUACACACUCUAUUGUAUGUCUUUGAAUGUAUGUUUAUUGGGACUUAAUUGACCCUUUAUAAAAACUAUACAACUUUCAGCAACGGAUCUCUUGGCUCUCGCAUCGAUGAAGAACGCAGCGAAAUGCGAUAAGUAAUGUGAAUUGCAGAAUUCAGUGAAUCAUCGAAUCUUUGAACGCACCUUGCGCCCCUUGGUAUUCCGAGGGGCAUGCCUGUUUGAGUGUCAUUAAAUUCUCAACCUUAAAAACUUUUUUGUUUCUGAGGCUUGGAUGUGGAGGUUUGCUGGCUUAUAACAGAGUCGGCUCCUCUUAAAUGCAUUAGUGGAAGACUACUUGUGUGGACCACAUUGGUGUGAUAAUUAUCUACACCAUUGUUUGUGUUCCAUGGGCUCAUUCAUAUAAAAGCAUCUCGAAUGUAAUCUCUUUUACAUUUCGGUUUUGAAAGUUGCAUUGACUUGCUCUUUCUGGCUUGAUUGAGUUUUAGACAUCUGCUUCAAACUGUCCUAAGUUACUGGACAAAAUCUAUUUGACUUGUUUGACCUCAAAUCAGGUAGGACUACCCGCUGAACUUAAGCAUAUCAAUAAGCGGAGGA
rnacentral:rRNA from 1 species